AACGAACGCUGGCGGCGUGGAUAAGACAUGCAAGUCGAACGGGAACUUCAGCUGUAGCAAUACAGUUGAAGUUUUAGUGGCGAACGGGUGCGUAACACGUGGGCAAUCUGCCGAGAAGUGGGGGAGUAGCUCGCCGAAAGGCGAAUUAAUACCGCAUAUGAUCAGCUAAGACAUCUUAGCGACAUCAAAGCCGGGGCAACCUGGCGCUUUUUGAGGAGCCCGCGGCCUAUCAGCUAGUUGGUGAGGUAACGGCUCACCAAGGCUAUGACGGGUAGCUGGUCUGAGAGGACGACCAGUCACACUGGAACCUGAGACACGGUCCAGACACCUACGGGUGGCAGCAGUCGAGAAUUUUUCUCAAUGGGGCAACCCUGAAGGAGCGACGCCGCGU
rnacentral:rRNA from 1 species